AGCUGCUCCUGUAUCCCAAGGCCUGGAAAGAAGAGCACUGUGUCUCUUGCUCUGCUCUCCUUGCAUAUGCCAAAGGAAACCCACAGCCAUGAGGACACUCACUCUGCUCACUGCCCUUCUCCUGCUGGCCUCCACACCCAGGCAGAAUCUCCCCAAGGAAGCCCUAAGGAAGCUCCAGAUCAGGAGCAGCUGGACAUGGAGGACCAGGAUAUUUCCGUAUUCUUUGGAGGAGAUAAAGGCACUGCUCUCCAAGAUGCAGCAGGCUCGACCUGCUCUUGCAGAAUCGGAACCUGUGUUUCUGGAGAAUGGCUCUCUUGGGUGUGUCGAAUCAAUGGCCGGAUCUACCGUCUCUGUUGCCGCUGAGCACGAAGAAGAAGAAGAAGGAGGGGGAGGAGGAGGAGGAGGAGGAGGAGGAGGAGGAGGAGGAGGAGGAGGAGGAGGAGGAGGAGGAGGAGAAGGAGAAGGAGAAGGAGAAGGAGAAGGAGAAGGAGAAGGAGAAGGAGAAGGAGAAGGAGAAGGAGAAGAAGAAGAAGAAGAAGAAGAAGAAGAAGAAGAAGAAGAAGAAGAAGAAGAAGAAGAAGAAGAAGAAGAAGAAGAAGAAGAAAAGAAGAAGAAGAGAAUCCAUUUGUCAUAUUACUUGAAGGAGACUGUUACUUAUAGUAUGUUGUGUCCUAGACUUUUCUCUUUCUUUAUAUCCAAAAAAAGUCCUUAUAUCA